AAACCUGCCUUUCAACCAAUCCGUCCUUGUGUCUGUCUCAAUCAACAGUUCAUCGGUAGAGUUCAGAGAAUCCUGAUUGUCUUUUCCAUUUGCCCCCCUCAUAGCAGCGGUGACAGAUUCUGCUCUUGGUGUGGGAUCUGCCAUCACACAUCAUCAGAUACGCGGUAUGGAUAGAUCGUCCAUGACGAAAGGCGGCAGGAAGGUAAACACCUGCUAGUCACUCCAACAUAACUGUGAGGCAUUUCUCUGGGGUCAACACUCUGUCUAGGUCAGAGUGACCAAAUAAUGACCUCUCACUGCCGUGACAUCUUGCACAUCUCUCUGGUGUUUUCUACCUCUAGACCAACAGCAGAUUUGUGAGAGGCUUCUGGACUUGCUGACUGUCAGAGAUCUCAAAGUACUCAAGGUUUUUUUUUUUUUUUUCUCAGGAACUGCUGAGAGAACAAAAUAAGAAGCGGAAGUUUGACAGCAGGGACUGACCCAUAACAGUUCAGAUGGAUAAAUUGUCCUUUGGCUUGUAUAGAAAAAAAAUAAGAACUCAAGUUUGAUAGUACUUCCUUUUUCAGUG
ensembl:lncRNA